AGUGAACGCUGGCGGUAGGCCUAACACAUGCAAGUCGAACGGCAGCACAGUAAGAGCUUGCUCUUACGGGUGGCGAGUGGCGGACGGGUGAGGAAUACAUCGGAAUCUACUUUUUCGUGGGGGAUAACGUAGGGAAACUUACGCUAAUACCGCAUACGACCUACGGGUGAAAGCAGGGGAUCUUCGGACCUUGCGCGAUUGAAUGAGCCGAUGUCGGAUUAGCUGGUUGGCGGGGUAAAGGCCCACCAAGGCGACGAUCCGUAGCUGGUCUGAGAGGAUGAUCAGCCACACUGGAACUGAGACACGGUCCAGACUCCUACGGGAGGCAGCAGUGGGGAAUAUUGGACAAUGGGCGCAAGCCUGAUCCAGCCAUACCGCGUGGGUGAAGAAGGCCUUCGGGUUGUAAAGCCCUUUUGUUGGGAAAGAAAAGCAGCAGGUUAAUACCCCGCUGCUCUGACGGUACCCAAAGAAUAAGCACCGGCUAACUUCGUG
rnacentral:rRNA from 1 species